GACAGAGGGUGCAAACGUUGUUCGGAAUUACUGGGCGUAAAGCGCGUGUAGGCGGCUUCGUAAGUCCGUUGUGAAAGUCCAGGGCUCAACCCUGGAAUGCCGAUGGAUACUGCGGAGCUAGAGUCCGGAAGAGGCGAGUGGAAUUCCUGGUGUAGCGGUGAAAUUCGUAGAUAUCGGGAGGAACACCGGUGGCGAAGGCGGCGACCUGGGUCGAUACUGACGCUGAGGUGCGAAAGCGUGGGGAGCAAACAGG
rnacentral:rRNA from 1 species